rnacentral:rRNA from 1 species
AGGAUGAACGCUGGCGGCGUGCUUAACACAUGCAAGUCGAACGGUGAAGUGAGGAGCUUGCUCCUUGCGGAUCAGUGGCGAACGGGUGAGUAACACGUGAGUAACCUGCCCUUGACUCUGGGAUAAGCACUGGAAACGGUGUCUAAUACCGGAUACGACCUCCGAAGGCAUCUUCUGGAAGUGGAAAGAAUUUCGGUCAAGGAUGGACUCGCGGCCUAUCAGCUAGUUGGUGAGGUAACGGCCCACCAAGGCGACGACGGGUAGCCGGCCUGAGAGGGUGACCGGCCACACUGGGACUGAGACACGGCCCAGACUCCUACGGGAGGCAGCAGUGGGGAAUAUUGCACAAUGGGCGCAAGCCUGAUGCAGCAACGCCGCGUGAGGGACGACGGCCUUCGGGUUGUAAACCUCUUUAGUAGGGAAGAAGCGAAAGUGACGGUACCUGCAGAAAAGCACCGGCUAACUACGCGCCAGCAGCCGCGGU